CGAAAGCCUGACGGAGCAAGACCGCGUGCGGGAGGAAGGUCUAUUGACUGUAAACCGCUUUUGAUAGGGAAGAAGAUCUGACGGUACCUAUCGAAUCAGCAUCGGCUAACUCCGUGCCAGCAGCCGCGGUAAUACGGGGGAUGCAAGCGUUAUCCGGAAUUAUUGGGCGUAAAGCGUCCGUAGGUGGUUUUAUAAGUCUGUUGUCAAAGCGCGAGGCUUAACCUCGUACGGGCAGUGGAAACUAUAAGACUAGAGUGCGGUAGGGGUUACGGGAAUUCCCAGUGUAGCGGUGAAAUGCGUAGAUAUUGGGAAGAACACCGGCGGCGAAGGCGCGUAACUGGGCCUGCACUGAGGGACGAAAGCUAGGGGAGCG
rnacentral:rRNA from 1 species